AAAUAUUAUUAUUUAUUGCCUUAUUUCAUUUCAUUACCAUCAUCUUAUAAUACAAAUCCAUAAAUACAAGGUUCUUCACAUUAGGAAAAAAAAAAUUCAAACUAUUGGAGUACCAAGACAAUAACAAAAUGACAUCUCAUGGAAUAUUCAAGAAGGAAUAUAAUUUGUGUACGCUCUUUAGUAUGGAAAACAUACAUACUCAUGUAUGCACAUAAUCUGUUUUGGAGAACUCUCGUAUACAUUUAUAUAUUGUAACCAAAAAAAAUACAUUUACAUAUGGAGUGGUGCAUACACUUCGCUUUGCCAGGAGAAUGACACAAGGUUUUUGGACAAUCUGAGUCUCUAAAGCAUCUAGUAAACUUAGCUGUAAUGAAAAAUGAGAAUAAAAUAGUGUAACAAUAAUAAGAUAAAAUAUUAUGUAUGAAGUAAAAAACUAAAUUUUAAAAGAGUAAAAAUGGUUUACCUUCAACAUUCGUUGCAACUAGAAAAAGAAAAAUAAAGAUAUUUAUAAUAUAA
rnacentral:lncRNA from 1 species